AUUUAAAUAGCUUAAAUUCUUAAAGUUUAAUAAUGAAAAUAUUAAGAUGAUUUUAAAAUCUUUAAAUA
rnacentral:tRNA from 2 species